AUGUGAAAUCAAUGGCAGCUUCAUAGCAUUUUAUGUAAUGUCUUUUGAGCCUGGACUACAUCAGUUUCCUAUGGAGCUCCACAAAGGAGAAAUUUUGGCAAUGAGAAGAGCCUCUGGUGUGUUAGAAACAGAAAGUAACAUACAUGCUUCAGAAAUAGCAAGUGUCUCGCCUGCCAAACCAACCCUGUGGUGCACAUACUUCUGUACUAUAGACCUGUCUUCCUUGAAACUCAAAGCAGAGGAAAAAGCAGUGGAGUCGUUUCUGCCUUGGAGAUGCUUCCCCUGAAUCCAUGUUUAAAGAAAAACCAAUGACCUUCAUCUCUCAAAGAAAACUGUAUGUCUCACCGAUUCUCAUCUUAACGCAGAUUUCCAUGGUCUUGCAUAUAAAAGCAACAUUUGAAGACUUUAAGAAAUAAGACAUUGCCAUAAAAUCUGGCUCAAUUUGUCUUAGCUUUGUUGGUCUGAGUGAAGUGAAACCAAAGCUGUAACUUUGCACAGUGUCCUGCUCGUGAGACUGGAGAGGCUGAUCACCUACCCACUUCCUCUGUUCAAGAGGCUAAGUGGUGCCAUUUCUCUUAAUUGUUGUCAGAUGUGAGCAUCAUGUUACGGACUGAAGAAUAAAGUGUUCUUCCCUUUGGAAAUAGAGCAAGGCCCCUUUUACAAGGUUAUAGAAGCUGACAUGACCACGUGCUCAGGAUUGGCUCUCCCUGAUCUUCAAGAAGUCCCACUGCACUUUCAGAGUCUCUAAUCUCAAUAAACUCUACUUUCUCUCCACCUCAGCUUUCAUUAUGUAUCUCUCUACUACUACUUUGAAAUUGAAACUAUGAGGCCUCUGCUUUGUUUGUGUGUAUGCAUCUACAUGUGCAUUGUACCUGUAUGGCAUUGCCAAAAUUAAUUCACACAAGAGUUCUACUUAAUUGGAUUAAUGAAAUUAAGCACUUAGACAAAUUCUAGAAAUACAUAAAGUAACUGGCCAGAUUUAAUCCUAGGUUCACAUGAACUGGAAAUAUUCAAUAUUAAAUUAAUAUCUAGUUUUAAAGUUAAACUUAUUUUAUUGAUAUAAUUAAUAUAAACAUUUUUAGAGUCAACAUUAUGUAUAAUAACUUUAUUGUAUCUAAGAUUUAAUAGAAAUUAAAUAAGAUCUUGUUAUAUCUGUUACAAAAUUGCCAGCAAGAAAAAUAGAUUGGUAUGAUGAAAUUUUCAUAAAUAAAUUAAAUGUAAAUGAUAUAAGAACGUUUGGGUAAACUUUUAAGAAAUAAUGCUUCUAGGAAUAUCAACUUAAGAAUGAUCUCUUUAGAUACUGGUAAUGUGAAAAUUGAGUCAUCCUUAAUUAAGUUAAAUAUUUAUUGAAGCUUAUUGAAUACCUUUGUCAUUUCCAAAUAAAAUAAGAUAUUGAAAAAUUAAUUAUUGAAUGUUGGCUUCAUUUUACAGAGAAACUUAUGUUUGGUGCCACACUGAAGCAUUUUAUAUAAAAAACUAUAUGAUUUUUUUUAAAUAGAGGUAUUUAUAUUUACCAAUCAAACAUAAUGAUAUGUUUAGUGCCACACUGAGGCAUUUUCUAUACAAAGUGCAUGCUUUAAAAAAAAAUUAUUGACAUUUAUGUUUACCAAUAUACAAAGUUUGGGUAUAAAAGAUAGUUCAUGUUACUUAAAAAGGUAGGAUAUAUGUUUUCAGUAAAAAGGAAUGAAAAUAAAAAGUAAGUUCAUACAAAAUUUGGGUUUGGUCUCUAUCAAAACAAGGUUUUCUUAAAAUGUUGCCUUCAGUAAUGAAUUGUGAAUUUCUUUGUAAGUGACUUCUCUUUGCUUUUAAUAACUUUUGUUACUUUGGUUAAGUAUUAUUUCACAAUGAUCUAUGAUUCUAUAUGACCAAGUGCUUUAAAACUUUUUGACGUUUUUGACAAACUUUCCAAAUGUCAGAUUCUUGUUAAAGUUCAUCUGACCAUGAGCCAACUUGAGGCGCUUCUGAGGGCCCCUGAGGCAUCUCAGAAAAAUAUUAAACUAACUGGGUUACAUUACAGGUUAAAUUACAAGAGGCACAUUGGCAAAUAAAUAUAUGGUACAUAUAGAUAAAUUUUAUUCCACUUCUAUGGAAAAUUAACCUCUCACUGCCAGGGUUUUGCCAUUUCCCAUAUAACGUGGCAACAGUUUACUGUUAAAUCAGGGAAUUUAAGGUGGGUAAACAAGAGCUAAAUUAAACAAGGCUAUGGGAAAUCCAGACAGCCACUUAGCUUUUCCUGGAUCCCUGGCAAACAAUUCUUAUUUGAUGGAUUAAAGUUUCCCCUGACUGAUACCCUCGCAAAAAUGAUUAAAAAUGUAUUUUCCAUUUGGUGUAUACUUUCUAUAAUCUCCAAAAAUCAAGGCACCUGCUGCACUGAACAAAUCAUAUAAGCCUUAUUUUUUUUUCACAGACUUUUUAAAAUUAUUCCUGUGACUAUCAUCCUCAAUCAUCAAGCAAGAUCAACGAAACUAAUAAAAAACUGGACUUGUACAGAAUAAAAUUAAUUACAUAUGAUAAA